AAAACCCAGAUAAUAAAGAGUUUGCUGAGAAGAAAUUUAAGGAGGUGGCCGAGGCAUAUGAAGUGCUGUCUGACAAGCACAAGCGGGAGAUUUACGACCGCUAUGGCCGGGAAGGGCUGACAGGGACAGGAACUGGCCCAUCUCGGGCAGAAGCUGGCAGUGGUGGGCCUGGCUUCACCUUCACCUUCCGCAGCCCCGAGGAGGUCUUCCGGGAAUUCUUUGGGAGUGGAGACCCUUUUGCAGAGCUCUUUGAUGAGAAAACUGAGGCACAGUUAAUAGCCCAGAGUCACAUAACACAUGGCAGAGCUGGACUCCUAGCUGUGUCUGCCUGUCAUCGCGUCAUGAUGAUUUGCCUGUACUGAAAGAGCCAUCUGUCCUCCAUCCCUCUUCCCCCUCCUUCCUUCCUUUAUUCUUUAUUGUGGACAGAAUUAACCAGUGA
rnacentral:lncRNA from 10 species